CACGUAGGGGCGAGCGUUGUCCGGAAUUACUGGGCGUAAAGGGCGCGCAGGCUGUUAUGCGAGUCUGCUGUGAAAUGUACCGGCUCAACCGGUGCCUUGCGGCGGAUACUGCAUAGCUGGAGUACUGGAGAGGGAAGUGGAAUUCCCGGUGUAGCGGUGAAAUGCGUAGAGAUCUGGAGGAAUACCAGUGGCGAAGGCGGCCUUCUGGACUGACACUGACGCUGAGGUGCGAAAGCGUGGGUAGCAAACAGGAUUAGA
rnacentral:rRNA from 1 species